GAUGAACGCUGGCGGCGUGCCUAAUACAUGCAAGUCGAGCGAACGGACGAGAAGCUUUCUUCUCUGAUGUUAGCGGCGGACGGGUGAGUAACACGUGGAUAACCUACCUAUAAGACUGGGAUAACUUCGGGAAACCGGAGCUAAUACCGGAUAAUAUUUUGAACCGCAUGGUUCAAAAGUGAAAGACGGUCUUGCUGUCACUUAUAGAUGUAUCCGCGCUGCAUUAGCUAGUUGGUAAGGUAACGGCUUACCAAGGCAACGAUGCAUAGCCGACCUGAGCGGGUGAUCGGCCACACUGGAAGUGAGCCACGGUCCAGACUCCUACGGGAGGCAGCAGUAGGGAAUCUUCCGCAAUGGGCGAAAGCCUGGCGGAGCGACGGCGAGUGAGUGAUGAAGGUCUUCGGAUCGUAAAACUCUGUUAUUAGGGAAAAACAUAUGUGUAAGUAACUGUGCACAUCUUGACGGUACCUAAUCAGAAAGCCACGGCUAACUACGUG
rnacentral:rRNA from 1 species